GCCUUAGGGUUGUAAAGCUCUUUCANNANGGACGAUAAUGACGGUACCUANNNNAAGAAGCCCCGGCUAACUUCGUGCCAGCAGCCGCGGUAAUACGAAGGGGGCUAGCGUUGUUCGGAUUUACUGGGCGUAAAGCGCACGUAGGCGGAUCGUUAAGUCGGGGGUGAAAUCCUGGAGCUCAACUCCAGAACUGCCUUCGAUACUGGCGAUCUUGAGUCCGGAAGAGGUGAGUGGAACUCCUAGUGUAGAGGUGAAAUUCGUAGAUAUUAG
rnacentral:rRNA from 1 species